rnacentral:rRNA from 1 species
AUUGAACGCUGGCGGCAGGCUUAACACAUGCAAGUCGAGCGGAGAUGAGGUGCUUGCACCUUAUCUUAGCGGCGGACGGGUGAGUAAUGCUUAGGAAUCUGCCUAUUAGUGGGGGACAACAUUCCGAAAGGAAUGCUAAUACCGCAUACGUCCUACGGGAGAAAGCAGGGGAUCUUCGGACCUUGCGCUAAUAGAUGAGCCUAAGUCGGAUUAGCUAGUUGGUGGGGUAAAGGCCUACCAAGGCGACGAUCUGUAGCGGGUCUGAGAGGAUGAUCAGACAGACUGGGACUGAGACACGGCCCAGACUCCUACGGGAGGCAGCAGUGGGGAAUAUUGGACAAUGGGGGGAACCCUGAUCUAGCCAUGCCGCGUGUGUGAAGAAGGCCUUAUGGUUGUAAAGCACUUUAAGCGAGGAGGAGGCUACUGAGACUAAUACUCUUGGAUAGUGGACGUUACUCGCAGAAUAAGCACCGGCUAACUCUGUGCCAGCCGCCGCCGUAACAC